GGAAGCAACUCUAGCUUCUAUUACUGCUGCAAGACUCAAACACAGCAGACGCAGCCAACACGCACGGGCAAGUGAGAAAUUCACAAAUGAAUGGCCAACGUUCUCCUAUUCAGAGGACAUCCUGCGACUAGUGAGGUCUGGCCGCUAGACAACCAGCCUGCUUGACCACAUCCCCUCCUCCAGACCAUCUCUGGAGACCUUCUAUCAAUACUCUCUGCCCUCAUCAACUCAUCCCUUACCACUGGCUGUGUUCCCUCUGACUUCGAAAUAAAUGUUGUUCCCCUCCACAAGAAACCAACAGUCGACUCAACUGAUGUCAAAAACUAUAGACCCGUAUCCCUUUCUUUACAAAACACUUGAGUGUGCUGUCUGAUGAUCUUUUUUGUUAUUUCUCUCAGAAUGAUCUACCUGACCCUAACCAGUCAGGCUUGAAGAUGGGUCACUCAACCGAGACUGCUCUUCUCUAUGUCACGGAGGAUCUCCGCAUUGGCAAAGCUGACUCUCUCUCCUCUGUUCUCAUCCUCUGUCAAUAAUAGUGUUGCCCUGAAUUGGUGACAUCCAACACAUCUCGGUGGAAAAGGGAAUAUGGAAUGCCUGGUCGAUGCCUGAUGAGAAUUAUAUUUUUUAAAUGUUUCA